rnacentral:rRNA from 1 species
CCGACUCUCCCACCCUUUGUGAACGUACCUCUGUUGCUUUGGCGGCUCCGGCCGCCAAAGGACCUUCAAACUCCAGUCAGUAAACGCAGACGUCUGAUAAACAAGUUAAUAAACUAAAACUUUCAACAACGGAUCUCUUGGUUCUGGCAUCGAUGAAGAACGCAGCGAAAUGCGAUAAGUAAUGUGAAUUGCAGAAUUCAGUGAAUCAUCGAAUCUUUGAACGCACAUUGCGCCCCUUGGUAUUCCGGGGGGCAUGCCUGUUCGAGCGUCAUUACAACCCUCAAGCUCUGCUUGGAAUUGGGCACCGUCCUCACUGCGGACGCGCCUCAAAGACCUCGGCGGUGGCUGUUCAGCCCUCAAGCGUAGUAGAAUACACCUCGCUUUGGAGCGGUUGGCGUCGCCCGCCGGACGAACCUUCUGAACUUUUCUCAAGGUUGACCUCGGAUCAGGUAGGGAUACCCGCUGAACUUAAGCAUAUCAAA